AAUUUUUUUAAAAUAAAAUAGGGCCUAUGAUACUAAGGAAUAAUGUAGCGUUCUACUUAUGAAAGAAUUUUCAAAAUCGAUUCAGUAGUUUCAGAGAUUAGCCCCUACAAACAAACU